rnacentral:rRNA from 1 species
UACGUAGGGUGCAAGCGUUGCCCGGAUUUAUUGGGCGUAAAGGGCGCGUAGGCGGCUCUGCACGUUCGUUGUGAAAUCGCCCGGCUCAACUGGGCGGGGUCAGCGGAUACGGCAGAGCUUGAGCAAGCUAGGGGGCAAUGGAAUUCCCGGUGUAGUGGUGGAAUGCGUAGAGAUCGGGAGGAACACCAGUGGCGAAGGCGGUGGCCUGGACCGAUGCUGACGCUGAGGCGCGAAAGCGUGGGGAGCGAUCCGG